GUCUUCGUGGUGUAAUGGUCAGCACACUGAGCCGGUAAUUCAGAGGUCCGCGGUUCGAUCCCCGGCGAAGGCA
rfam:Stegodyphus mimosarum contig46873, whole genome shotgun sequence.